UACAGAGGGGGCAAGCGUUGUUCGGAAUUACUGGGCGUAAAGGGCGCGUAGGCGGCCUGUUAAGUCGAACGUGAAAUCCCCGGGCUCAACCCGGGAACUGCGUCCGAAACUGGCAGGCUUGAAUCCGGGAGAGGGAUGUGGAAUUCCAGGUGUAGCGGUGAAAUGCGUAGAGAUCAGGAAGAACACCGGUGGCGAAGGCGCUCUGCUAGGCCGCAACUGACACUGAGGGACGAAAGCUAGGGGAGCGAAUGGG
rnacentral:rRNA from 1 species